GACCGGGGCUGUGACAUGGUGGAUCAAUACGGCCGGUUUAUAAAGCCCCUGCCUCUGGCUGCCUUUCUCUGCAUCCUGGGCUCCGCUCCCCGGCUCCCCGAUAGCAGCCCCCUCUCCCAGACUGGACCCCUUCACCCGGGGCUGGGGCUGGGGCUGGGCCCUUGGAAGGACAGCAGGGACCUGGGGGCCUCCCAGCGGGGAGGAGCUGCUUUCUCUGGAUGCUAGAAGAAGAGGCUGGAUCCCCAGAAGGCCCUGGCUGGAAGCUACCGUGUCCUCAGCCAUCCUUGCAUUCCUCAAGAAGACCCCCGUACGCACCUCUGCCCACCCCACCCCACCGAGCAUCUGCAUCCUCGCCGAAACAGCUGCCACCUCUGGCCUCUGGCUCCUGUAUGCCUUUGGCCAACAUCUGGAGCUCCCUUCCCACAUCUGGAAGGCUUCCCCCCUCCAACACAGCCACGGCCUCAGUGUGACACGCCCCCGGAGGCCGCAACCCAAAGGCCUCUUAAGCCACGUCCUUCCUUAGCCUGCGUGCAAGUCCUGCGGACCCCGCGGCACGUGGCCGCGCUCCCCGUCUGUGUUACAGAGCCCCCACCCAAAGGCGCCUCAAUAAACAGCAGCGGCUGAGAACCGAGAA